rnacentral:ncRNA from 2 species
GCACAACUCCACACAUUCAUCACGCCCGCAGCGGGGGAAGCCGGUCCGAGUCCGGCGCUGACCCGCAACCGUAGGCCUCCCGACCAGCCAGGGUCGGGGGCGAGCCGGAGCACCCGAUGCGACGCGUCCUGAUCA